rnacentral:rRNA from 1 species
CCUGGUCUUGACAUCCACGGAAGUUUUCAGAGAUGAGAAUGUGCCUUCGGGAACCGUGAGACAGGUGCUGCAUGGCUGUCGUCAGCUCGUGUUGUGAAAUGUUGGGUUAAGUCCCGCAACGAGCGCAACCCUUAUCCUUUGUUGCCAGCGGUCCGGCCGGGAACUCAAAGGAGACUGCCAGUGAUAAACUGGAGGAAGGUGGGGAUGACGUCAAGUCAUCAUGGCCCUUACGACCAGGGCUACACACGUGCUACAAUGGCGCAUACAAAGAGAAGCGACCUCGCGAGAGCAAGCGGACCUCAUAAAGUGCGUCGUAGUCCGGAUUGGAGUCUGCAACUCGACUCCAUGAAGUCGGAAUCGCUAGUAAUCGUGGAUCAGAAUGCCACGGUGAAUACGUUCCCGGGCCUUGUACACACCGCCCGUCACACCAUGGGAGUGGGUUGCAAAAGAAGUAGGUAGCUUAACCUUCGGGAGGGCGCUUACCACUUUGUGAUUCAUGACUGGGGUGAAGUCGUAACAAGGUAACCGUAGGGGAACCUGCGGUUGGAUCAC